GGAAUCUUCCACAAUGGGCGAAAGCCUGAUGGAGCAGCGCCGCGUGUGUGAUGAAGGGUUUCGGCUCGUAAAACACUGUUGUAAGAGAAGAAUGACAUUGAGAGUAACUGUUCAAUGUGUGACGGUAUCUUACCAGAAAGGAACGGCUAAAUACGUGCCAG
rnacentral:rRNA from 1 species